rnacentral:rRNA from 1 species
GACGAACGCUGGCGGCGUGCUUAACACAUGCAAGUCGAGCGGUAAGGCCCUUUCGGGGGUACACGAGCGGCGAACGGGUGAGUAACACGUGGGUGACCUGCCCUUAGCUCUGGGAUAAGCCUGGGAAACUGGGUCUAAUACCGGAUAUGACUCCAUGACGCAUGUUGUGGGGUGGAAAGCCUUGUGCGGCUAGGGAUGGGCCCGCGGCCUAUCAGCUUGUUGGUGGGGUGAUGGCCUACCAAGGCGACGACGGGUAGCCGGCCUGAGAGGGCGACCGGCCACACUGGGACUGAGACACGGCCCAGACUCCUACGGGAGGCAGCAGUGGGGAAUCUUGCGCAAUGGGCGAAAGCCUGACGCAGCGACGCCGCGUGGGGAUGACGGCCUCG